rnacentral:rRNA from 1 species
CUUGCUCCNUUAGGUCAGCGGCGGACGGGUGANUAACACGUGGGUAACCUGCCUGUAAGACUGGGAUAACUCCGGGAAACCGGGGCUAAUACCGGAUGCUUGAUUGAACCGCAUGGUUCAAUUAUAAAAGGUGGCUUUUAGCUACCACUUACAGAUGGACCCGCGGCGCAUUAGCUAGUUGGUGAGGUAACGGCUCACCAAGGCGACGAUGCGUAGCCGACCUGAGAGGGGGAUCGGCCACACUGGAACUGAAACACGGCCCAGACUCCUACGGGAGGCAGCAGUAGGGAAUCUUCCGCAAUGGACGAAAGGCUGACGGAGCAACGCCCGCGUGAGUGAUGAAGGUUUUCGGAUCGUAAAAUUCUGUUGUUAGGGAAAGAACAAGUACCGUUCGAAUAGGGCGGUACCUUGACGGUACCUAACCAGAAAAGCCACGGCUAACUACNUGCCAACAGCCGGGGUAAUACGUAGGUGGCAAGCGUUGUCCGGGAAUUAUUGGGCGUAAAGCGCGCGCAGGCGGUUUCUUUAAGUCUGAUGUGAAAGCCCCCGGGCUUCAACUGGGGAGGGUCAUUGGAAACUGGGGAACUUGAGUGCAGAAAGAAGAGAGUGGAAUUCUCACGUGGUAGCGGUGAAAAUGCGUAGGAGGAUGUGGGAAGGAACACUAGUUGNNGGAAGGGCNACUUCUUCUUGGUCUUGUUAGUAGAGAUGUGGAGGAACACCAGUGGCGAAGGCGACUCUCUGGUCUGUAACUGACGCUGAGGCGCGAAAGCGUGGGGAGCGAACAGGAUUAGAUACCCUGGUAGUCCACGCCGUAAACGAUGAGUGCUAAGUGUUAGAGGGUUUCCGCCCUUUAGUGCUGCAGCAAACGCAUUAAGCACUCCGCCUGGGGAGUACGGUCGCAAGACUGAAACUCAAAGGAAUUGACGGGGGCCCGCACAAGCGGUGGAGCAUGUGGUUUAAUUCGAAGCAACGCGAAGAACCUUACCAGGUCUUGACAUCCUCUGACAACCCUAGAGAUAGGGCUUCCCCUUCGGGGGCAGAGUGACAGGUGGUGCAUGGUUGUCGUCAGCUCGUGUCGUGAGAUGUUGGGUUAAGUCCCGCAACGAGCGCAACCCUUGAUCUUAGUUGCCAGCAUUCAGUUGGGCACUCUAAGGUGACUGCCGGUGACAAACCGGAGGAAGGUGGGGAUGACGUCAAAUCAUCAUGCCCCUUAUGACCUGGGCUACACACGUGCUACAAUGGGCAGAACAAAGGGCAGCGAAGCCGCGAGGCUAAGCCAAUCCCACAAAUCUGUUCUCAGUUCGGAUCGCAGUCUGCAACUCGACUGCGUGAAGCUGGAAUCGCUAGUAAUCGCGGAUCAGCAUGCCGCGGUGAAUACGUUCCCGGGCCUUGUACACACCGCCCGUCACACCACGAGAGUUUGUAACACCCGAAGU